CUUCCGCCCCGCCCAAAUUGUGAUUAAACUUAGCUCUUCUUUAAUGUUCUGAGCUUUUAUGAGUACAUACGUACAGCUCAGGUCAAUAGCUAGGACUUGGGUUAAUGCAACUAAAAUUGUGAUGUUUUUUAUUUGAGCAUUUCUCUACGAAAGACACGUAAUUUGAUGUCAUGUUGACAGAUGAAGCUGUCACUGUGAAGUUUGUCUGUGGUAACAUGGAACAGAAAUACAAGUAGACCAAGGCCCUGAAGAACAAAGCCAGGCAUGAACUCAUUAAGGAUGAGCUGACAUGGAUACCCAAGAAAUUCAGCUUGGAUCACUACUGUCUGAGGACAGAGAAUGGAGAUGUGCUAGAUAUUCACCUUCAGCCUGAGACCAGCCCUCUACAGCUGAUGGUGACCCGGGGUGGCCCCUGGUGGGCUGAUGACAUGGGGCUGUACUUCCACUCUAGCCCAAAACCAAAAUCCAAAUAAUUAGGUGAUACAAAUAAACAACAGUUUUGGGAAGAAAAUGCAGACAAUAAUGUGUAAUUGUUAAAAUAUAAUUUCAAAAUAAUUGUUAAGUUUAACUUUAUUGUUAAUCUUUUCUGCCUGUUUUUGCUUUUGUUUUGAAUUAUUGUAGUGACUAUUAUCAAUGUGUAUAUUUCUGUUGCUCAGUAAGUACAAUGGUAUUUAAAAUAAAACCCUACUGGUACAAAUGUACAACUGGCCUGUAUAAUUCUUCACUUGGAAGGACAGUUUUUCAUGUGAACUGAAGCGGUCUUUCGCCAUGUCUGUUAAUUUGUUCUAGAAAAUGCUUACUGGAAACCCUUCUUUAAAAAAUAUUUUGUUUGUGAAGUGAGUUAUCUUUUGCAUGAUGUUGUUGAAUAUAAAAUGUAUAACAUUUCGCAGUAUUUUUCUUAUUUGUUGCAUUUAAAAUUAUGAUAUAUGUAUCAAUGAAAUUUGUGAAGAUUUGUUUUAAUUAAAUUAUACCAUAUGCCUCAUUCGUUUUCAUUCUAAUAGAAUACAACCAGUUUUCCUUAGCUUAGUUUUGUGUAAUAAAUGCAAAUGUAGAAUGAUAAUGUAUAUGUAAAUGCUAAUAUAGUGGA